GGCCCCGUCGUCCAGCGGUCUAGGACGCCGGCCUUUCAAGCCGGAAACGCCAGUUCGAACCUGGUCGGGGCUGCCA
rnacentral:tRNA from 1 species